rnacentral:rRNA from 1 species
AAUAGAUACCCUGGUAGUCCACGCCGUAAACGAUGAGUGCUAAGUGUUAGGGGGUUUCCGCCCCUUAGUGCUGCAGCUAACGCAUUAAGCACUCCGCCUGGGGAGUACGGUCGCAAGACUGAAACUCAAAGGAAUUGACGGGGGCCCGCACAAGCGGUGGAGCAUGUGGUUUAAUUCGAAGCAACGCGAAGAACCUUACCAGGUCUUGACAUCCCGUUGACCGCUAUGGAGACAUAGCCUUCCCUUCGGGGACAGCGGUGACAGGUGGUGCAUGGUUGUCGUCAGCUCGUGUCGUGAGAUGUUGGGUUAAGUCCCGCAACGAGCGCAACCCUUGAGAUUAGUUGCCAUCAUUCAGUUGGGCACUCUAAUCUGACUGCCGGUGAUAAACCGGAGGAAGGUGGGGAUGACGUCAAAUCAUCAUGCCCCUUAUGACCUGGGCUACACACGUGCUACAAUGGACGGUACAAACGGUUGCCAACCCGCGAGGGGGGAGCCGAAUCCGAUAAAACCGUUCUCAGUUCGGAUUGUAGG